AAAAAAGGUAAGCUACUAAGAGCGAAUGGUGGAUGCCUUGACUGGUAAAGGCGAUGAAGGACGUACUAGACUGCGAUAAGCUACGGGGAGCUGUCAAGAAGCUUUGAUCCGUAGAUUUCCGAAUGGGGCAACCCAAUGUAUAGAGAUAUACAUUACCUAUAUAGGAGCGAACGAGGGGAAUUGAAACAUCUUAGUACCCUCAGGAAAAGAAAUCAAUAGAGAUUGCGUCAG
rnacentral:rRNA from 1 species